rnacentral:misc_RNA from 1 species
GAUGAAGAACGCAGCGAAAUGCGAUACGUAGUGUGAAUUGCAGAAUUCAGUGAAUCAUCGAAUCUUUGAACGCUCAUUGCAGCUCUCGGUAUUCCGGGAGGUAUGCCUGUUCGAGCGUCAUUUGUACCCUCAAGCUCUGCUUGGUGUUGGGUGUUUGUUCCGCCUCUGUGUGUGAACUCGCCUCAAAACAAUUGGCAGCCGGCGUACUUGUUUCGGAGCGCAGCACAUUUUGCGAUCCAGAUCAACGUACAGCGGCAUCCAAGAAGCCUUAUUUAACGCUCUUGACCUCGGAUCAGGUAGGGAUACCCGCUGAACUUAAGCAUAUCAAUAAGCGGAGGA